GUUCGAGCGUCAUUAUAACCACUUCAAGCCUGGCUUGGUCUUGGGGUUUGCGGUUUCGCAGCCCCUAAAAUCAGUGGCGGUGCCGGUGUGGCUCUACGCGUAGUAAUUCUUCUCGCGAUGGAGUUCCCCUGGUUGCUCGCCAGAACCCCCAAUUUUUACAGGUUGACCUCGGAUCAGGUAGGGAUACCCGCUGAACUUAA
rnacentral:misc_RNA from 1 species